CUCCUCCUUAGGGAGUUACCUUCUUACCACUUACUUCUCCAGAACUACUCCCUUUGUAGCCAGAGCCAACAGAGAUGCUCCUUCCCACACUUCUUGGAAUGCCUCCAUCAGUCCCAGUUUCUACUUUAAGGAACAUACUUUGUCCAAGUAACUGGAAGGAAGGCAGAGCCUGAGCAUGAACUUCACUUUCCAGAAGGGACCCUGCCUUCUCUGGGAUAUUCUUCAUGCUGGCAGGCUGUCGGGAAGAUACGUGGGGACCCUGGGAUUUUCCUUUCGCUUUCUUGUGCUCUCAGAAACCACCCCCUGGUGACUCAGAAACAUGAAGGCUAUUACGCAAAAGAAAUUGAAGACGAUAAAUAAGGGUGGCUCAGAAGUUGUGCUUCGAUCCUUUUAAUUAGAGUUCCAUACCUGAUUUGCCACUGAUGAGCUACCGGACAUUAAAUAAGUCAUUUUAUCUGAUACUUA